rnacentral:rRNA from 1 species
UUCCGGUUGAUCUUGCCGGAGGUUACUGCUUUCGGUGUUCGACUAAGCCAUGCAAGUCAUAUGUUCCUCGUGAACAUGGCAUACUGCUCAGUAACACGUGGAUAACCUGCCCUUGGGUCUGGGAUAACCCCGGGAAACUGGGGAUAAUACCGGAUAACGCAUAUGUGCUGGAAUGCUUUAUGCGUAAAAUGGAUUCGUCCGCCCAAGGAUGGGUCUGCGGCCUAUCAGGUAGUAGUGGGUGUAAUGUACCUACUAACCAACAACGGGUACGGGUUGUGAGAGCAAGAGCCCGGAGAUGGAUUCUGAGACAUGAAUCCAGGCCCUACGGGGCGCAGCAGGCGCGAAAACUUUACAAUGCGGGAAACCGUGAUAAGGGAACACCGAGUGCCAGCAUCAUAUGCUGGCUGUCCAGAUGUGUAAACUACAUCUGUUAUCAAGGGCCGGGCAAGACCGGUGCCAGCCGCCGCGGUAACACCGGCGGCCCGAGUGGUGACCGAUAUUAUUGGGGCUAAAGGGUCCGUAACCGGUUUGGUCACUCCUCCGGGAAAACA